UACAGAGGUCUCAAGCGUUGUUCGGAUUCAUUGGGCGUAAAGGGUGCGUAGGCGGCGCGGUAAGUCGGGUGUGAAAUCUUGGAGCUUAACUCCGAAACUGCAUUCGAUACUGCCGUGCUUGAGGACUGGAGAGGAGACUGGAAUUUACGGUGUAGCGGUGAAAUGCGUAGAUAUCAGGAGGAACACCGGUGGCGAAGGCGGGUCUCUGGGCCGAAACUGACGCUGAGGAGCGAAAGCGUGGGGAGCAAACAGG
rnacentral:rRNA from 1 species